GGGUUGUGAGGUUAAGCGACUAAGCGUACACGGUGGAUGCCCUGGCAGUCAGAGGCGAUGAAGGACGUGCUAAUCUGCGAUAAGCGUCGGUAAGGUGAUAUGAACCGUUAUAACCGGCGAUUUCCGAAUGGGGAAACCCAGUGUGAUCCGUCACACUAUCAUUAACUGAAUCCAUAGGUUAAUGAGGCGAACCGGGGGAACUGAAACAUCUAAGUACCCCGAGGAAAAGAAAUCAACCGAGAUUCCCCCAGUAGCGGCGAGCGAACGGGGAGCAGCCCAGAGCCUGAAUCAGUGUGUGUGUUAGUGGAAGCGUCUGGAAAGGCGUGCGAUACAGGGUGACAGCCCCGUACACAAAAAUGCACAUGCUGUGAGCUCGAUGAGUAGGGCGGGACACGUGGUAUCCUGUCUGAAUAUGGGGGGACCAUCCUCCAAGGCUAAAUACUCCUGACUGACCGAUAGUGAACCAGUACCGUGAGGGAAAGGCGAAAAGAACCCCGGCGAGGGGAGUGAAAAAGAACCUGAAACCGUGUACGUACAAGCAGUGGGAGCCUCUUUAUGGGGUGACUGCGUACCUUUUGUAUAAUGGGUCAGCGACUUAUAUUCUGUAGCAAGGUUAACCGAAUAGGGGAGCCGAAGGGAAACCGAGUCUUAACUGGGCGUUAAGUUGCAGGGUAUAGACCCGAAACCCGGUGAUCUAGCCAUGGGCAGGUUGAAGGUUGGGUAACACUAACUGGAGGACCGAACCGACUAAUGUUGAAAAAUUAGCGGAUGACUUGUGGCUGGGGGUGAAAGGCCAAUCAAACCGGGAGAUAGCUGGUUCUCCCCGAAAGCUAUUUAGGUAGCGCCUCGUGAAUUCAUCUCCGGGGGUAGAGCACUGUUUCGGCAAGGGGGUCAUCCCGACUUACCAACCCGAUGCAAACUGCGAAUACCGGAGAAUGUUAUCACGGGAGACACACGGCGGGUGCUAACGUCCGUCGUGAAGAGGGAAACAACCCAGACCGCCAGCUAAGGUCCCAAAGUCAUGGUUAAGUGGGAAACGAUGUGGGAAGGCCCAGACAGCCAGGAUGUUGGCUUAGAAGCAGCCAUCAUUUAAAGAAAGCGUAAUAGCUCACUGGUCGAGUCGGCCUGCGCGGAAGAUGUAACGGGGCUAAACCAUGCACCGAAGCUGCGGCAGCGACACUAUGUGUUGUUGGGUAGGGGAGCGUUCUGUAAGCCGUUGAAGGUGUGCUGUGAGGCAUGCUGGAGGUAUCAGAAGUGCGAAUGCUGACAUAAGUAACGAUAAAGCGGGUGAAAAGCCCGCUCGCCGGAAGACCAAGGGUUCCUGUCCAACGUUAAUCGGGGCAGGGUGAGUCGACCCCUAAGGCGAGGCCGAAAGGCGUAGUCGAUGGGAAACAGGUUAAUAUUCCUGUACUUGGUGUUACUGCGAAGGGGGGACGGAGAAGGCUAUGUUGGCCGGGCGACGGUUGUCCCGGUUUAAGCGUGUAGGCUGAUUUUCCAGGCAAAUCCGGAGAAUCAAGGCUGAGGCGUGAUGACGAGGCACUACGGUGCUGAAGCAACAAAUGCCCUGCUUCCAGGAAAAGCCUCUAAGCAUCAGGUAACAUCAAAUCGUACCCCAAACCGACACAGGUGGUCAGGUAGAGAAUACCAAGGCGCUUGAGAGAACUCGGGUGAAGGAACUAGGCAAAAUGGUGCCGUAACUUCGGGAGAAGGCACGCUGAUGGUAGGUGAAGCGACUUGCUCGUGGAGCUGAAAUCAGUCGAAGAUACCAGCUGGCUGCAACUGUUUAUUAAAAACACAGCACUGUGCAAACACGAAAGUGGACGUAUACGGUGUGACGCCUGCCCGGUGCCGGAAGGUUAAUUGAUGGGGUCAGCCGCAAGGCGAAGCUCUUGAUCGAAGCCCCGGUAAACGGCGGCCGUAACUAUAACGGUCCUAAGGUAGCGAAAUUCCUUGUCGGGUAAGUUCCGACCUGCACGAAUGGCGUAAUGAUGGCCAGGCUGUCUCCACCCGAGACUCAGUGAAAUUGAACUCGCUGUGAAGAUGCAGUGUACCCGCGGCAAGACGGAAAGACCCCGUGAACCUUUACUAUAGCUUGACACUGAACAUUGAGCCUUGAUGUGUAGGAUAGGUGGGAGGCUUUGAAGUGUGGACGCCAGUCUGCAUGGAGCCGACCUUGAAAUACCACCCUUUAAUGUUUGAUGUUCUAACGUGGACCCGUGAUCCGGGUUGCGGACAGUGUCUGGUGGGUAGUUUGACUGGGGCGGUCUCCUCCUAAAGAGUAACGGAGGAGCACGAAGGUUGGCUAAUCCUGGUCGGACAUCAGGAGGUUAGUGCAAUGGCAUAAGCCAGCUUGACUGCGAGCGUGACGGCGCGAGCAGGUGCGAAAGCAGGUCAUAGUGAUCCGGUGGUUCUGAAUGGAAGGGCCAUCGCUCAACGGAUAAAAGGUACUCCGGGGAUAACAGGCUGAUACCGCCCAAGAGUUCAUAUCGACGGCGGUGUUUGGCACCUCGAUGUCGGCUCAUCACAUCCUGGGGCUGAAGUAGGUCCCAAGGGUAUGGCUGUUCGCCAUUUAAAGUGGUACGCGAGCUGGGUUUAGAACGUCGUGAGACAGUUCGGUCCCUAUCUGCCGUGGGCGCUGGAGAACUGAGGGGGGCUGCUCCUAGUACGAGAGGACCGGAGUGGACGCAUCACUGGUGUUCGGGUUGUCAUGCCAAUGGCACUGCCCGGUAGCUAAAUGCGGAAGAGAUAAGUGCUGAAAGCAUCUAAGCACGAAACUUGCCCCGAGAUGAGUUCUCCCUGAGACUUUAAGUCUCCUGAAGGAACGUUGAAGACGACGACGUUGAUAGGCCGGGUGUGUAAGCGCAGCGAUGCGUUGAGCUAACCGGUACUAAUGAACCGUGAGGCUUAACCUUACAACGCCGAAG
rnacentral:rRNA from 1 species